GCAGUCGAACGAGAACGGAUUAUAGCUUGCUAUAAUUGUCAGCUAAGUGGCGCACGGGUGAGUAAUGUAUAGGUAAUAUGCCUCUUACUAAGGGAUAACAAUUGGAAACGAUUGCUAAUACCUUAUAUUCCUUUUUAUCAAAAGAUAAAAAGGGAAAGAUUUAUUGGUAAGAGAUUAGCCUGUAUUGUAUCAGUUAGUUGGUGGGGUAAUGGCCUACCAAGACUAUGACGCAUAACUGGUUUGAGAGGAUGAUCAGUCACACUGGAACUGAGACACGGUCCAGACUCCUACGGGAGGCAGCAGUGGGGAAUAUUGCACAAUGGACGAAAGUCUGAUGCAGCAACGCCGCGUGGAGGAUGACACAUUUCGGUGCGUAAACUCCUUUUAUAUAAGAAGAUAAUGACGGUAUUAUAUGAAUAAGCACCGGCUAACUCCGUGCCAGCAGCCGCGGUAAUACGGAGGGUGCAAGCGUUACUCGGAAUCACUGGGCGUAAAGAGCGUGUAGGCGGAUUGAUAAGUUUGAAGUGAAAUCCUAUAGCUUAACUAUAGAACUGCUUUGAAAACUGUUAAUCUAGAAUGUGGGAGAGGUAGAUGGAAUUUCUGGUGUAGGGGUAAAAUCCGUAGAGAUCAGAAGGAAUACCGAUUGCGAAGGCGAUCUACUGGAACAAUAUUGACGCUGAGACGCGAAAGCGUGGGGAGCAAACAGGAUUAGAUACCCUGGUAGUCCACGCCCUAAACGAUGUACACUAGUUGUUGUGAGGCUCGACCUUGCAGUAAUGCAGUUAACACAUUAAGUGUACCGCCUGGGGAGUACGGUCGCAAGAUUAAAACUCAAAGGAAUAGACGGGGACCCGCACAAGCGGUGGAGCAUGUGGUUUAAUUCGA
rnacentral:rRNA from 1 species